rnacentral:lncRNA from 1 species
AGCACACUUACGCUACGCAACCGUGGCUUUCGCAUGGAAUUUUACUGGGAUAAGUGUCCAGAUGGAAUUCAAGCAUUCUAUCCAAAUGGUUAUUGAUCAUUAAAAUGGCAUUGUAAAGGGAUGACUCAGAAAUAACAGAGCUUGUUGCUGCUUCUGAGAUAAGGAAAACUCUCAACGUCAAAAUGUGAGCAGAGGAGAGGAUGAAAUAUGCAAUAUGGAUGUCACCUUGUAGCAAUUGGCCUUUACUGACCCAUGAAAAUGGAUGGAGUUGUUCUGGUCUCACUGUGGAGAAGAUCAGGUUCACAGCUUGGAUGGGAGAACAGCAGAAGGAAUCACCUGAGAGGAAGAAGCUGAUCUUAAAAAAGAUAUCCUUGAAGAUUAAUCAGAGAACCUUUCAUUCACCCAUAAAGGAGGAUCUGUCAUCACACAUACAGAAGAUGUGCAGACCUGGAGGACAGCACCACACCAGCACAACCACAACAUCCUUAAGUUACACUUGGACUUCAGUUGAACAUAUUCAUUUGACUACAGAGAAACACUGCUAUCAAGUGAUGUGGUUGCUAAAAGAGAACACUGAACAGGUGUUCUCAGUUCUGAUUGUCAUGCCUUCCCAGCAGUACGCCCCAUAUUGUCUCAGAUCUGGAGCCGGUGUUGACUAGACACCUUUGGUUCAUGUUUUGCCUUUUUCCUAAGGCUUUACCACUUACUUCCAGGGACGCAAUUGGUGAAGCCAUGUGAAUGUUACUGUGUCAAGAGAGCCCUCAUGGUGCCUCCCAUUGAGUAGAAAGGAAUACCUUGGCUGUUUAUGACUUUGUUGCUUAAAUCUUCUAAUAAAAACUUCUAUUUUGCUAAACAGAGGUUCUUAUAGCCCUUCAUUUGCAUGAAAUGUAAAAUCAGUUAAUAUAUAAGUCAUGGCAACUGAAUGGGCAAGAAAGAUG